UAGGGAAUAUUGGACAAUGGGCGAAAGCCUGAUCCAGCAACGCCGCGUGUGCGAUGACGGCCUUCGGGUUGUAAAGCACUUUUAGAGGAGAUGAGAAAGGACAGUAUCCUCUGAAUAAGCCUCGGCGAACUACGUGCCAGCAGCCGCGGUAAAACGUAGGAGGCUAGCGUUAUCCGGAUUUAUUGGGCGUAAAGCGCGUGCAGGCGGUUUAUCAAGUUGGAUGUGAAAGCUCCUGGCUUAACUGGGAGAGGUCGUUCAAAACUGAGAGACUAGAGAAUGGUAGAGGGGGGUGGGAUUCCGGGUGUAGUGGUGAAAUGCGUAGAUAUCCGGAGGAACACCAGUGGCAAGAGCGGCCUCCUGGGCCAUUUCUGACGCUAAGACGCGAAAGCUAGGGUAGCAAACGG
rnacentral:rRNA from 1 species